rnacentral:rRNA from 1 species
GUUAUAGGGUCAAGCGAACAAGUGCAUGUGGUGGAUGCCUUGGCGAUCACAGGCGAUGAAGGACGCGGUAGCCUGCGAAAAGCUACGGGGAGCUGGCAAACGAGCUUUGAUCCGUAGAUGUCCGAAUGGGGAAACCCGGCCCUUUUGGGUCAUCCUAGACUGAAUACAUAGGUCUAGUGAAGCGAACGCGGUGAACUGAAACAUCUAAGUAACCGCAGGAAAAGAAAUCAACCGAGAUUCCCAAAGUAGUGGCGAGCGAAAUGGGAUGAGCCUUGUACUCUUUAUUUGUAUUGUUAGCCGAACGCUCUGGAAAGUGCGGCCAUAGCAGGUGAUAGCCCUGUAGGCGAAAACAGUAUGAAAGAACUAGGUGUACGACAAGUAGGGCGGGACACGUGAAAUCCUGUCUGAAGAUGGGGGGACCAUCCUCCAAGGCUAAAUACUCGUGAUCGACCGAUAGUGAACCAGUACCGUGAGGGAAAGGCGAAAAGAACCCCGGGAGGGGAGUGAAAUAGAUCCUGAAACCGCAUGCAUACAAACAGUCGGAGCCUCGUAAGGGGUGACGGCGUACCUUUUGUAUAAUGGGUCAGCGACUUACGUUCAGUAGCAAGCUUAACCGUAUAGGGCAGGCGUAGCGAAAGCGAGUCCGAAUAGGGCGUUCAGUUGCUGGGCGUAGACCCGAAACCAGGUGAUCUAUCCAUGGCCAGGAUGAAGGUGCGGUAACACGUACUGGAGGUCCGAACCCACUAACGUUGAAAAGUUAGGGGAUGAGCUGUGGAUAGGGGUGAAAGGCUAAACAAACCUGGAAAUAGCUGGUUCUCUCCGAAAACUAUUUAGGUAGUGCCUCGUGUCUCACCUUCGGGGGUAGAGCACUGUCAUGGUUGGGGGGUCUAUUGCAGAUUACCCCGCCAUAGCAAACUCCGAAUACCGAAGAGUGCAAUCACGGGAGACAGACAUCGGGUGCUAACGUCCGGUGUCAAGAGGGAAACAACCCAGACCGCCAGCUAAGGUCCCCAAAUAUGGCUAAGUGGGAAACGAAGUGGGAAGGCUAAAACAGUCAGGAGGUUGGCUUAGAAGCAGCCACCCUUUAAAGAAAGCGUAAUAGCUCACUGAUCGAGUCGUCCUGCGCGGAAGAUGUAACGGGGCUAAGCCAUAUACCGAAGCUGCGGAUGCG